GGGUUUGAUUCUGGCUCAGGAUGAACGCUGGCGGCGUGCUUAACACAUGCAAGUCGAACGAACCUUCGGGUUAGUGGCGGACGGGUGAGUAACGCGUGGGAAUCUGCCCUCAGGAGGGGGAUAACGGCCGGAAACGGCCGCUAAUACCCCAUAUGCCGAGAGGUGAAAUGAAUUUCGCCUGAGGAUGAGCCCGCGUCUGAUUAGCUAGUUGGUGAGGUAAGAGCUCACCAAGGCAUCGAUCAGUAGCUGGUCUGAGAGGAUGAUCAGCCACACUGGACUGAGACACGGCCCAGACUCCUACGGGAGGCAGCAGUGGGGAAUUUUCCGCAAUGGGCGAAAGCCUGACGGAGCAACGCCGCGUGAGGGAUGAAGGCCUCUGGGCUGUAAACCUCUUUUAUCAAGGAAGAAGAUCUGACGGUACUUGAUGAAUAAGCCACGGCUAAUUCCGUGC
rnacentral:rRNA from 1 species